UUCUCCCUCAGUGUGUGCAUGUGUGCUUCCUUCAUGCAUGUAAUGGAAAACAGUUGGCCACCCUGGAUUGGACAAUCAGAAGUUGAUUGCUGCCUUGUGAUUGGUACAUUGAAUGACAGCAGGCUUUUUAAGCCCCCAGCUGACAGCAAUCUUUGCUUCACUCUGCUACUUGCAACUAUGUGCUAGUUGUUGAAUGAGAACCUUUGCAAGCAGAGAAACUUCAGCACAGUGAUUUUAAAUGUUUGUAGAAGUCUUGUCUGUUUAAGGUUGUUUGCGGAUCUUGUUAAUUUGGGCACAGCUCAUCUCUGAAGACUGCUACUUUGUAAUUUCCUUGCGUUGUGGGAUUUGAAAAAUAACAAGUGAGAACAGCAAGCAGCUCUGUUCAAUUCUUAUCCAGCCUGAAGAAGAGUUAUAUCAGAUUCGACUGCUGGAGCAAUGUUACUCACGUCUUUGUCUAGCAUGGCUGAAGAACCCCAUACACCAGCUUCACAACAGAGCUCUCUCCAUGUCGAGGGAUGCAGUCGUGGGUGUACAGAGUGAACAGGAGGGGGCUGAGCACAC